UACGAAGGGGGCUAGCGUUGCUCGGAAUCACUGGGCGUAAAGGGUGCGUAGGCGGGUCUUUAAGUCAGGGGUGAAAUCCUGGAGCUCGACUCCAGAACUGCCUUUGAUACUGAGGAUCUUGAGUUCGGGAGAGGUGAGUGGAACUGCGAGUGUAGAGGUGAAAUUCGUAGAUAUUCGCAAGAACACCAGUGGCGAAGGCGGCUGACUGGUCCGGUUCUGACGCUGAGGCGCGAAAGCGUGGGGAGCAAACAGG
rnacentral:rRNA from 1 species